rnacentral:lncRNA from 1 species
AUGAUAAGUAAUUAGAUAAUGUUAUUCUUGCACCUACAUUUGAAUAAUAAUAAUACAUUGACAAAAAAUUUGGGCAAACGCAACUUGAGAUUCUUAGCGUGAAAAUAAUCUUUGGAGGAGUGGGGGGGGGGGCGAUUUUCAGAUCAUACAACAAUGUAUACGUUUGGGAGAAUUUGUAUGCUUAAGAAUUUAAAAGAAUAACCUGUGCAGUGUAUUGCUGGAAUAGAUGUUUACAGUAAGCGUACAAUAUCUUUAAAUGUAUAUACGUAUUCACUAUAUUGGUAUAAAAGAUUCAUUAUUCUUAGCAUAAAGACAACAAAAUUCAACGUAACAGAUUCUUCGAACAUUCUGUUGCAAGGAUAAUUUAAUAAUACUACAUACAUUUGCAAAAACAACGGGAAAAAGUAAAUUUUAGGAAGUGACAAUGUUUACAUUCCAGGAAGAAGGCUUUUUGUAACUGUUUGCAUAUUUUUCAAUGUCUAGCGAAUACAUCUUUGUAAGGGAGAGUCUACCAU